GCUCGCUCAGUCUAGUCUCGGCCCUCCCGGCUGAGGAGUCAGCCUCGGCGUCAGACUCGCCGGCCCGAGGGCACCUCACUCCACGCUUGGCGUUUCUCGUUUGCUGCCCGUCGUCCCUUUCACCCUCAGUACGACGGACGCAGGGGGUACCCUCCAGCCCAGGGCCCCAGUCCACACCACGGCCCACCCUCUCCGCCGUUCCGCUUCUCACGCUCCUCCUCGGACCCCUCUCUGCUGCCAGUGCUCUGUCACCCUCCUCUGCCCCCGAGACGCUGAACUUCGCAGGCUGCCUGUUUCUUUAGAUGGCACCAUGCUUCUUGGUCCCCAAACCGUAGCAGAUUAUGUGUCUAAGUGCAGAAGCUGAGCCCCAGAGCCCAGGACCAAAGGAGACCCCUGCCCAGGCUGGGAGCCAAGGCAGAGGAGAAGGAGAAGGCAGGACAGACCUCCAGCUCCCCAUCUACCCCUUGACCCCUCUGCUGUCACAGCUGACCCUGUCCCACGUCCCUCCCAGCAGCCCCUGCCCCCACCCCAAAGCCCUUUUCUGGCCUGGACUGUGGAGCCUCCUUUUGUCAUGCUCCCACCCCUCCCAGCACCACCUGGUCCAUUUGAGUGAGAGGCCCUUUCCCUGCCCCCAGUGUGGGAAGUGCUGCAGCCACGGGGCCACCUGACCCUGCCCCUGCACUCCCACACAGGUGACAGGCCCUAUGGCUCUGGCCUCCAUGGCUGUGGCUUCACUCAGAGCCCCCUUCUGCUUUGACAACCGUCCACACCCAGUGGGAAGGACAGGGAUGAACAGAGCGGGCCGCCAACCCCGCAGCACUCCAGGAGGGCAGCCCUGGGGACAGACUCCCUCCACAGUCGGAGUGACUUGCCUCUUCUGUGGGAGGCAUAAUGGGGCACGGCUCCCUGACCCACCCCAUCCCCGCCAGAGCCACCACAUUAGGUGAUCAGAGUGUCUCACCGGAACCUACUCAGGGCUGGAAUGGCCAGGUCCACCUCACUUCUAGUCCACAAUCUAAUCCCCCAGGAAAAGAGCUUUUCCUGUUUCUUAGAAAAGAAUCUGUACUUCCAAUCUCCUGUCCUCCAUCUGAGAAGUUUAACCAGGCUGCCUGAGACCUACUGCCAUCACGGACGGAUCAGAUUUCCCGGGAUUUUCUUGAAGGGAUUUUUUAAAGAGAUAACUGAAUCCCCAGAGAUCUCCAUGACAACCCCCACCAUCAAAUUCUAGUUGCCCACAAAUCCCACCCAACCCCAUCACUUCCCCCAGAGGCCGCUGGCUGCUUAUUGCCUCCGGUGCUAAAGCUACACCCAGCACCCCAUCGGAUGAGGCCAUCUCCCUGUGCCCACUCCUGGACCCACGGGCCCUGUUUCAGGGCUUUCUGUGACCUUCACUGCAUUUCACACUAAGAAUAAAGCCCAGACGGAGGCUGCUUUUUCCAGCAGCACCAUGGGCCUCUUAUUGAAAGGUGAAAAUAGGCAGAGGCAUGUAUCCAAGGAGAAGGAAGGGAAAUGGAGGAGAUGGAGACCAGUGGAAGAAGCCAAGGGAGGUUGGGGGAGAAAGUGGGAGGUUCUGGGUGUGGAAAAAGUAGAACAGGGCUGUGUGGGAGAAGACAAGAAACACCUGGCCAGUACAAGCACUUCCUUGCAUUUGCACUUCUUCCGCAGGAUUCCUCACUUACUGUCUUCUUCAUGUGCUGGGAAACUGGUUUUGAACAAGAGUCAGCAGGGAGUCCCACGGAGCAUCCCCUCCAGAUUGGCACCCUGGGGCCCAGCGUGGCCCCGAGGAUGGCACGUCAUCAUUCACUCUUGUAGGAGGUUCUGCUAGGGGAGUUUCCGCCUUGGGCGGCACCUUCAGUAAAUUUAUUGUUAUUGUUCAUGUUCAAGGAUAAGGUAGACCUUAGUUCUUGUAUUAACUUCCCCCAAAGAAAACUCUUUAGAACUUGGCAGAUUUCUCCCGAUGAUGUAUCAGAGAGGCUGAUUAUUGCCACAUGCAGGAAGGGAUGAAAGAACCUCUAAGGUAAAAGGAUCACUUGGGAGACCGCUGGUCAGUUUCACCCUUUCAGAAACUAUGUAUUGAGUCCACCAUGUGUCAGGACUGUUCUAGGACCUGGGUACCACAAACAGGUGUGUGAUGUGGCCCCACCUUUGAAGCAUGUGAUCUCAGGUGUUCGUGGUGAGCAUCUCAAUAUUGAAUCUAGUCCUAACGAGUGUAUCCACUAUAAUAUCUCUCAAGUCUGUCCACUCUUCUCCAUCCCUCCACCUCCCUGGGCCAGCGACCACUUGGACUGUCUGGCUCUUCUCUGAAUCACUGAGAUCACUGGAGAGGCCGGAAAGACCUUCUCUGAAACAAGAGGCAUGCCUGAGUAAGAGAGACCUUUCUGAAAUGCAAAUCUGAUGGUUUCAGGCACCCUGCUGAAAGACAGUCAAUGGUUUCCCACCGACCUUAAGUUAAAGACCCAAGUCCUUAACCUGGCCUCUAAGGCCCCUUGGGGUGUGGCCCCACCGGCCUCUCCAGCCUCACCUCCCACUACUCACCCCUGUCACUCCCUAGCGCUCUACUCCACCGUGGCGUGCUUCCUCCCGCAGGCUGGGCCCUCCACCCGAAAGGCUUCUUCCAUUUCUCUUUUAAGUUAGCUCCUGUGCGUUCUUCAGAUCUCAGCUCCUUUACCACAUCCUCAGGGAAGGUACUCAGACCUUCCUUUCGGGUCAAAUUCCCCUCCUCUGAGCUCCCACACCAAGGCGCACUCUUUCUCCGAGGUACUGUGUGUGGUCGCAGAUCUGUGUUUUUUGGGGAUUACUCGAUUGGUGUCUGGCUCCCCAUGGAACGUAAGCUCCCUGAGGGCAGGAGCCAGGACUGCAGAUGCUCACUCUUGUCAUUCCCUGGACCUGGAACUGGACACUCUAUGAAUAUGGAGUUGAAAUAUUGGUUGAAAGGAUGCAUGCAUGCCUGGAUCUGGGGCAGGGGACGCAUAUUUCAGGAUCUCAGGAUGGAUUGAGGCCGUGAUUCUCCCUCCAAAAGCUGCAGCCCAGGAGUCCCAUAUGUCAUUUCCUUAACACCAUUCCUUCCUCCACGCUUCCUGGCAUUGUCCGUCCACGGUUGAGCCUCCGUCCCAGACUCCUCCACCUUGUCCAUGAGACCCCUUCUCCCUUUGACUUCCUAAUGCCCCUUCCUGGUUUUGCCCCUUUGGCUUCAGAAGGCAGCAUGGAAUAAUAUGGCAACAGCGGAGGAUUCAGAACCAGAAAUUUGGGUUCAAUAACUAGAUAAAAGGAUUAGCAGUGUGACCUUCAGCUGGCUUUUAAACCACUCUGAACCCUAGCCUUCUUAUCUGUAAAAUGGGAACAACUUCAGAAUCAAGCAAGAUGGAGGAUGUGGAAAAUCUAAAAGCACCAUCACCUAGAAAUACUGAUAAAAAGGAAAAAAAUUAAACAUAUAACUGAGUUCUCAAAAGGAAAGUAAAAUCCCAGGUGCUAGAAACAAAGAGAAAACUGAAAGCCAGAGGGUGAGCUGACUGUGGCUACGGUUACUAGGAGGGGGCUGGGAAGGAACAGGUUCUGUCAACCUUUUCUGUUUCACCAGCCACCCAGAGACAGAUGAGGUCUCAGUCCUGAACAGGUGGGGAAAUUAGAUGAAAGACAGCCAAAGUUGACUCAAGAAGAAAUAGAAAGCCUGACAGCUCUAUAAAUUCUAAUAAAUUGAAUGAGAAAUUUUAAGUACACACACACACACACACACACACACACACACACACACACACACUACCCAAAUGGCUUUAUAAGUAUAUUAUUCUGCUAACUCUUCAAGGAACUGUUUAUUUAUUUAUAUAGACCGUCCCAGACAAUGGAAAAAGAGGACCAAUUGAACUUAUAAGAUUGAAAAUCCUAAAUGAAAUAUUAGCAAACUGAAUCCAAUGGAGUUUGUGCAAGUGCAUGUAUAUAUGCACGUGUGUAUGUGUGACCAAGCAGAGUUUAUUCCAGGAAUACAAGGAUGGUCUACUUUAAAAAAUCUAUUAAUGAUAUUUACAGCAUUGACAUAUUAAAAGGAAAAAAUAUGAUUGUCCCAAUAUGUAGAGAUGCACCUGGGUAAAGUUUAACACUAAUGAUUUAAAAAACAAAUCUAGCUAACUAGGAAUAGAAAAUAACUUCCAACACUAAUACAAAGAUACUAGUUUUUACUGUUUCUAUUCAACUUGUGCUGGGGGUGGUGGUGGUCUGAACUAGCACAAUAAGAAAAAGUAGAAGUAAAGCCAUAAUUAUACAUAGAUGAUUGAUUAUUUACAUAGAAAAUUUAUGAGAACCUACAAACAAU